rnacentral:rRNA from 1 species
AAAGAUUAAGCCAUGCAUGUCUAAGUAUAAGCAAUUAUACCGUGAAACUGCGAAUGGCUCACUAAAUCAGUUAUCGUUUAUUUGAUAGUACCUUACUACUUGGAUAACCGUGGUAAUUCUAGAGCUAAUACAUGCUGAAAACCCCAACUUCGGAAGGGGUGUAUUUAUUAGAUAAAAAACCAACGCCCUUCGGGGCUUCUUGGUGAUUCAUGAUAACUUUACGGAUCGCAUGGCCUUGCGCCGGCGACGGUUCAUUCAAAUUUCUGCCCUAUCAACUUUCGAUGGUAAGGUAUUGGCUUACCAUGGUUUCAACGGGUAACGGGGAAU